rnacentral:rRNA from 1 species
AUGGACUCAGCAGAAGCAGCCUCUGCUCCGGUUGAGGAGUACUACCUGAAGAAGGCAGCUCAAGAUAAGUUGAAGGUCGCAGAUGUGCGUGACAUUCAUAGCUGUAGCGGCGAGCGAAUUGAUGAGGGCAUGCACUCUGCUGAAGCAUUACCAGCUCCGGAUCCAACUGAGGAGUACUUGAGGAAGGCAGCAGAAGAGUUUAAGGUUGAUUUCGACAAGAGAGAAGAGAAGAUGCAUAGGUUUCCUGCAAGCCUACGCGGCCUGGGCAGCCAGUACAUCGUGCCAAGGGUCGUGGCCAUCGGCCCUUACCACCACGGCUCACACCACCUCCGGCAGAUGGAGAAGGUGAAGCACCUGGCCGCCUACCACUUUGUUAGCGUGUCAGGCUACUCAGUUGACAAGAUCUAUGGGGCUGUCCCGCUGGCUCUACGCUGA